rnacentral:tRNA from 1 species
AAGGAUUUAAGUUAAACAAACUAUUAGUCUUCAAAGCUAAAAAUAAAUUUUAUUUAAGCCUUA